UACGUAGGGUGCGAGCGUUGUCCGGAAUUAUUGGGCGUAAAGGGCUCGUAGGCGGUCUGUCGCGUCGAAAGUGAAAACUCAGGGCUUAACCCUGAGCCUGCUUCCGAUACGGGCAGACUAGAGGUAUGCAGGGGAGAACGGAAUUCCUGGUGUAGCGGUGAAAUGCGCAGAUAUCAGGAGGAACACCGGUGGCGAAGGCGGUUCUCUGGGCAUUACCUGACGCUGAGGAGCGAAAGUGUGGGGAGACGA
rnacentral:rRNA from 1 species